UAUGAUACAGCUCAGUGGUAGAGCGUUUGCCUGAUAAGCAAAAGGAUGUGGGUUCAAUUCCCUCUAUCGUAACCA
rnacentral:tRNA from 1 species